rnacentral:lncRNA from 1 species
GCUGGUUCUUCCAGGAGCGCGCAUGAGCGGACGCUGCCUACUGGUGGCCGGGCGGGAUGUAACCGGCUGCUGAGCUGGCAGUUCUGUGUCGCUAGGCUUCUGCCCGGCCGCCGCCGCACAUAAGCCACGAGGAGGAGCUUUACGACUUCCCGGUCUUCGGCGCCGGGCGCAGCAAGGGCCAGACUCUGCGCUAGCAGGCGCUGCGCGCCAACCGGCCGGCACCUGUCGCAGAAGGUGCAACCGAUCGCACUGUCGCGCAGAAGCUCCUCAAUGGCCAGCGCCAGCUGCAGCCCCGGCCGCCCACUCGCCUCAUCUGAGCCUGGGCAAAUCUGGAUUGGGAAAGUUGACAUUAAUCAACUCAUUAUUCCUCACAGAUUUGUAUUCUCCAGAGUAUCCAGGUCCUUCUCAGAGAAUUAAAAAGCCUGUACAGGUCUAGAUAUUGGUAUUUUUAAUUGAUGAUAAGCUGGAAUAAUAUUAAUACACACAAAGCACGUGUUGUAACUUUCAUUAUGCUUCCUUAGAGCUCUGUUCACGGAAAGGGCCUGGGAGCUGCAACACCUCAACAGCAACAAGCACACCUGCUACCUAGAACUUGGUUUCUAAAAACCAUCCUCCUCUAAAAGGAAACAGAGCUCUUUGAAGAAACGAGACAGAUCUCAUUAUGUUGCCCAGGGUGAUCCUUGAUCUCCUGGCCUCAAGUGAUCCUCCAACCUUGGUCUCCCAAAGUGCUGGGAUUACAGAUGUGAACUACCACACCCAGUCAACGUGCAGAAGGUUUUCAGUUUGAUGUAGUCUGAUGUAGUCUCAUGUAUUUAUCCUUCUUGUUGUUGCCUGAGCUUUUGGUGUGAUAUCCAAAAAUAUCAUUGCCAAGAUCAAUAUCAAGAAACUUUCCCCCUAUGUUUCUUACAGAAAUUUUAUGGUUUCAGAUUUUUCAUCCAUUUUGAGUAUAUUUGUGUGUAUGAUGUAAGAUAAGGGUCCAGUCUCCCCAGUGUUGGAUAUCCAAUUUUCAUAACACCAUUUAUUGAAGAGAUUAUUCUUUCUCCACUGUGUUUUCUUGAUGUCCUUGUCAAAAAUUAGUUGACUUUUAUAUGCUUGGGUUUAUUUCUGGGCUCUAUUCUGUU